CCUACGGGAGGCAGCAGUGGGGAAUUUUGGACAAUGGGCGCAAGCCUGAUCCAGCAAUGCCGCGUGAGUGAAGAAGGCCUUCGGGUUGUAAAGCUCUUUUGUCAGGGAAGAAACGGUGAAGGCUAAUAUCCUUUGCUAAUGACGGUACCUGAAGAAUAAGCACCGGCUAACUACGUGCCAGCAGCCGCGGUAAUACGUAGGGUGCAAGCGUUAAUCGGAAUUACUGGGCGUAAAGCGUGCGCAGGCGGUUUUGUAAGUUUGUCGUGAAAUCCCCGGGCUCAACCUGGGAAUGGCGAUGAAGACUGCAAGGCUAGAAUCUGGCAGAGGGGGGUAGAAUUCCACGUGUAGCAGUGAAAUGCGUAGAGAUGUGGAGGAACACCGAUGGCGAAGGCAGCCCCCUGGGUCAAGAUUGACGCUCAUGCACGAAAGCGUGGGGAGCAAACAGGAUUAGAUACCCUGGUAGUCCACGCCCUAAACGAUGUCUACUAGUUGUCGGGUUUUAAUUAACUUGGUAACGCAGCUAACGCGUGAAGUAGACCGCCUGGGGAGUACGGUCGCAAGNUUAAAACUCAAAUGAAUUGACCGGNUGAGAGNGCGAGACGACGACGAGGGAGGAGG
rnacentral:rRNA from 1 species